rnacentral:rRNA from 1 species
CAAAUCCCAUAAAGUUGUUCUCAGUUCGGAUUGUAGUCUGCAACUCGACUACAUGAAGCUGGAAUCGCUAGUAAUCGUAGAUCAGCAUGCUACGGUGAAUACGUUCCCGGGUCUUGUACACACCGCCCGUCACACCACGAGAGUUUGUAACACCCGAAGCCGGUGGAGUAACCUUUUAGGAGCUAGCCGUCGAAGGUGGGACAAAUGAUUGGGGUGAAGUCGUAACAAGGUAGCCGUAUCGGAAGGUGCGGCUGGAUCACCUCCUUU